CAAAAAAAAAAAAAAAAAAAAAAAAAAGAAGGUGCUCUCUUGCAGCCUCCCGGACCCUGGAUACCAGCGCAGGGACACAUGGAAGUCCCCACACUUAUUCUUGAGAAACUUCACAAAGGGAUGGGGAUGGGGAGAGGAGAGGUAGAGAGGGAGAGGCGUCUCAACAGCGGCAGGCAUUCAUCCAUUUAAAAAGGUUAUUGGUUGCUAAAUAAUAAUGGUAACAUCUCACAUUUAUGACCCACUUUUCAUUUACAUAAAAAAGAUGACGACUGAAAAUUGACUGUUGGAUUUAGCUCUGUGGAACUCAUGAUGAACCUGACAAGAGGUUUUGGUAAAGCAGUGGGGGUUUUAGCCUGAUUGAAGAGGGCUGGAAGGGAACUGGAGACAGCAAGUAUAGACAACUGGUUUGAGG
rnacentral:lncRNA from 10 species